UACGUAGGGGGCAAGCGUUGUCCGGAUUUAUUGGGCGUAAAGAGCGUGUAGGCGGCUUGGCAAGUCCGCUGUGAAAACUUGAGGCUUAACCUCGAGACGUCGGUGGAAACUGCCUGGCUAGAGUCCGGAAGAGGAGAGUGGAAUUCCUGGUGUAGCGGUGAAAUGCGCAGAUAUCAGGAAGAACACCCGUGGCUAAGGCGGCUCACUGGACCACAACUGACGCUGAGGCGCGAAAGCUAGGGGAGCAAACAGG
rnacentral:rRNA from 1 species